GGAGGUAGUGACAAUAAAUCACAAUGCGGAACUAUUUAGUUUUGCAAUUGGAUUGAGAACAAUGUACAAAUGUUAUCGAUAAACAAUUGGAGGGCAAGUCUGGUGCCAGCAGCCGCGGUAAUUCCAGCUCCAAUAGCGUAUAUUAACGUUGUUGCAGUUAAAAAGCUCGUAGUUGAAAUGUGGGAUGAAGUAUAUGAUGAAUUUUAAAUUCAAUUAUAUAUUGAUUCCCCUCUCCAAUUUAUUAUUAUGGGUAUUAAUUUAUUUGUAAUAAGAAUUGGUCAUUUACUGUGAGAAAAUUAGAGUGUUCAAAGCAGGCAUUUGCUUGAAUAGAUUAGCAUGGAAUAAUACUAAAAGGCUUUUAUGGUCGAUUUAAUUGGUUUGUUCAUAAAAGCAAGAUUAAAAGGAACAGUUGGGGGUAUUCAUAUUCAAUAGUUAGAAGUGAAAUUCCCCGAUUUAUGGAAGAUGAACAAGUGCGAAAGCA
rnacentral:rRNA from 1 species